GUCAGCUGACUGAUACGGAUGACGCAAUGGCAACAGCUCACAACAACUUCGCCAGCUCACGAGAUGCACACGGAAGAGUUACUGGAGGGAAUAAACAGCGAUAACUAGAGUUUCCUGUGAUUUAAAAGCGUUCGGAGGUCUGCAGAUGGACUGGUGUUUACAGAGGGAACUAUGGAGGAGUUCAGGACUGCGAGGACAUUCACCUGACAUCAAUGAAGACGUGGCUUCUUGAGUUUCUGAAGGACUUACGGACUGCGAGGACACUCAUCUGACAUCAAUGAAGACGUGGCUUCUUGAGUUUCUGAAGAACUUAAGGUACUAUACUUUGACUUUUAUGAUAUUAUCAACUUGUUGCAUUUUUAUAUAUUAUAGAUAUUUUCAUUCUACUAAACUGACUUCAUGGUGUCUUUUUCUUCUUUUCCCGGAACACCGAGUGCAAGUACAUCUGACAUCAACGAAGACGGUGGCUUCUGGAGAUCCUGAAGAACUUACGGACUGCGAGGACAUUCAUCUCACAUCAAUGAAGACGUGGCUUCCUGAGUUUCUGAAGAACUUACGAGAGUGAAGAGACGACCCCCCCCCCCCCCCCGCCACGCCAUCAAUUAAGACCCCGGCUGCCUAUGUUUCUGAAAAACUUGUGGACGUUUUCAGCCUUAGGGACGUAUAGCAGACUUAACAGACUAUCGAUGUGGCUGCAGUGAGAGCCCACAGCCACUUAGCAGACUUAGCCGACUUGGGGCGGUGGCUGGGGUGCCGAGCGGCCCCCCCCCAGCCACGUCAGCCCCCCCGACUUAGCAGACUUAGCAGACUUAGCAGGCCUACUGACUUAGCAGACUAUCGGCAGUGACUGCAGGGCCCUGCACAGGAGUGCAGUGAGAGCCGGCAGCCACCUAUCGGCCGCUUAUUAGACUUAGAAGACUUGGGGACGUUUAGCAGACUUGGGGACGUUUAGCAGACUUGGGGACGUUUAGCAGACUUGGGGAAAAGGCUGCACUGCUAUGUAUGAAUAAAUGUGAAUAAAAAAUAGUUUCUUAAAAUA